UAUCAGCUACCACACUAAAACCUGCUUACUCACCCUUUUCCCCCCUUGCUGUUUCUUUGACAUUAUGCUUUUCUGAAUUAGUAUACUUACUGCUCAACAGAGAGAACAUUUUACUGGGAGACAUAGCAAUUGCUCCUGUCCCCUGGGUAUUCAUUUCACUGAACCAACAGGAUGCCUCCUAACACCAUCGUGUUUGAUGGUAAAUAUUAAUGAACAAGUAGAGCGGUUCAACAUGGCAAGACCACAACGGUCCCAUCAGUGGACUUCAUCAGUGGACUUUGAAGGACCCCAUCAAGCCUCUGUGAUCCUCAGGAGCUUGGCUUAGAGCCUGGGUACCUUAGUAACUUACUGAUGCUUCCUUCUCUCCCAGAGGACUAUGUCCCAGAAGAAUUAAAACAAUAAGAACAGGAAAACAUUGGGAUUCUGCUGCUUCAUUUUCAGAAUCUGACAAAAUAUCAAUAUAAGAACCAUGCAUAUAGAGCCUGAGAGGACAGAGUGACCCUAUUUUAACACAAUCAGUUCAAAUCCUUCCUUGAGCUGUCUAGGAAAUGAGG